CGUAUUCAUGUAUGAUUUUAAUUGUGUUUCUUAGUUAAUGGAAACACUAAUUACAAAAUUGUGUUCUUUUGACAUUAUCGGAAAAUAGACAAAGAAUUGCAAACAGCAAC